GUGGGUGUAGCCAAGUGGUUAAGGCAGAGGAUUGUGAUUCCUCCAUUCGCGGGUUCGACCCCCGUCAUCCACC
rnacentral:tRNA from 1 species